AUUCCAUGAUGGGGACAUUCUCGGAUGUAGUCUUGGAAGCGCUCCCAUGCUUCUGGAACGGAUUCAUCAUGUUGUUGUUGAAAACUUGUAAUCUUCCCACGGAGAGC
rfam:Sorghum bicolor cultivar BTx623 chromosome 2, whole genome shotgun sequence.